rnacentral:rRNA from 1 species
GAUGAACGCUGGCGGCGUGCCUAAUACAUGCAAGUCGAGCGAACAGACGAGGAGCUUGCUCCUCUGACGUUAGCGGCGGACGGGUGAGUAACACGUGGAUAACCUACCUAUAAGACUGGGAUAACUUCGGGAAACCGGAGCUAAUACCGGAUAAUAUAUUGAACCGCAUGGUUCAAUAGUGAAAGACGGUUUUGCUGUCACUUAUAGAUGGAUCCGCGCCGCAUUAGCUAGUUGGUAAGGUAACGGCUUACCAAGGCGACGAUGCGUAGCCGACCUGAGAGGGUGAUCGGCCACACUGGAACUGGGACACGGUCCAGACUCCUACGGGAGGCAGCAGUAGGGAAUCUUCCGCAAUGGGCGAAAGCCUGACGGAGCAACGCCGCGUGAGUGAUGAAGGUCUUCGGAUCGUAAAACUCUGUUAUUAGGGAAGAACAAAUGUGUAAGUAACUAUGCACGUCUUGACGGUACCUAAUCAGAAAGCCACGGCUAACUACGUGC